rnacentral:lncRNA from 1 species
CAACAUUUUCAACAAAACUAACUUAAUAGGCAUUAACCCUCCCUCCCCCACACUGAUGAACGAUAGCUCAUUUGAACAAAACCCGCCUUAUAGGCAUGAGACUUCUCUCUUUGUCCGACGAACUCGAAGUCAUCUAAGCUACACUUGGACAAAAUCCACCUGGAUCUACUGAAACAUCAACAAUGUAUUUGUGAUUCAUGGUAUGUUGCUGCUCUUAUUUAUUUAACUCUCGUUGUCUCUUCUCGAUUUUUCAUAAUUUUGAGCUAGGUUUUUCUAUUCAUAGAUGGGGAUUUUUUUUAUUAAAGUAUUGCUGCACCUUUUGGCCAUUUCUAAGUUACUCAAACAAUUCAAAGAAAGUAAAUUUAUCAUCCCUUUUUAAUCGACUAAAUGAAUUGAUCUCCCGAUCGCUACUUUCCAUGUCCAAAUGGCAAGAUAUAUGUGUAGUUUUCAAAGCUACUUUUCCGUUUUAAUCGUUUGAUUGAGACUUGCAGUUAUAAAUGAGCCUUAGAAAAUAAUUACUAAUGAAUUUCAUAAUCUUACAUUUGUGUAAUUGACAGCCAAGGCAUUGGCAGAGAAUGGAUUUGAACCACUUUACAAGCAUAAUUUUACAACAGAUCCAAAUGAGCAAGAAAACAUUUGCUUGUUACCUUUCUACAAUAACUGGUCCUGUUGAACUUUUUAUUUGUCAUCUGCCAAAGUGGCUUUCUGCAGGGAUCGUCCCUAUCUUUUAGAGCUCCAUCUGGAUAUAUAGGAGGCUUGGAGCUACUAUAAGGUAAUUGAUG